ensembl:misc_RNA 7SK 7SK RNA
GGAUGUGAGGGUGAUCUGGCUGCGACAUCUGUCACCCCAUUGAUCGCCAGGGUUGAUUCGGCUGAUCUGGCUGCUAGGCGGGUGUCCCCUUCCUCCCUCACAGCUCCAUGUGCGUCCCUCCCAAAGCUGCGCACUCGGUCGAAGAGGACGGCCUUCCCCGAAUAGAGACGGACCGGUCUUUGGUCGAGGCUAUAAAAGUAGCUGUGCUUCCCUGCUAGAACCUCCAAACAAGCUCUCAAGGUCCAUUUUAUACAAUAACUUUCUUUUUGUAGAUGCCCUCGAGCUCUGGCCUCUACUGUGACUUCACAUGAUUAUAGAUUCUAUAGAUACAUG